rnacentral:rRNA from 1 species
GGCUGCCUACGGGGCGCAGCAGUGAGGAAUAUUGGUCAAUGGGCGGAAGCCUGAACCAGCCAAGUCGCGUGAGGGAAGAAGGCCCUGCGGGUCGCAGACCUCUUUGGACGGGGAGCAAGGCCGCCGACGUGUCGGCGGAAGGAGAGUACCCGUAGAACAAGCAUCGGCUAACUCCGUGCCAGCAGCCGCGGUAAUACGGAGGAUGCGAGCGUUAUCCGGAUUUACUGGGUGUAAAGGGAGCGGAGACGGUGCUGCAAGUCUGAAGUGAAAGCCCGUGGCUUAACCGCGGACCGGCUUUGGAAACU